UGGGCACUCGUAACUAUGACCACGUCGGUGGCACGUUAUCUAUUACUCAUGGUUGACUGCAGUAACCCCGGUGAGUGCGUUGACCAUGUCAACGCACAAUUGGGGCACAGCUCAGGCACUCGUGAGUUUGUUGCACACGUCGGUGCGGUACAACACAGUACUCAACGUCCUACAUCCGGUCGAGUUCAAGGUUCUUUCUUCAAGCGCACACGAUGCUCUCUAACGUCGGUUAAGACAGGUUUUACACGUUUGCAACCAUAGCUGUUUUUGGCGGCCUGUUCCUUUCUAGUGUUAGUCUAGUCUUGUGUCCAGCUGUCAUUUUAGUUUUUAUUAGUUAGGGUUACAUUCAUACUCUUUCCAGUGUUAUCGUAAUUCCAUUUAGAUAUUAUCGAAGUUGCAAGUGCGUAGUUUUGUUAAAUAAGGUAAACGGUUGAAAAUUGAUGUUAUGUCUGGAACAGUUGAAGUUCCAGUUGAACAAAAUAACGUUAUAAGUCUUUAUCGCCUAGUUUAGGUCAACGAAAAUGAAGAGACAUUUUAGCAGUCUUAUUUUCGUAAAACACUUUUUAGUCUUGUUUUAUUCGCCAACUAUAUUGUACUAUGCUUUUAAUCACAGCUAUUGUCACACGCCCAGCAUCCACGUUGCGUCCAGUCUCGUUUUUCUCACGCGAUGAAGGCUUGUUGAUGACGACUCUUAGUCAUAAUUUUCAUUGCUAAAAGCAACACUAUUCUGGCGGCCUGUUUCCAUUCCAGGGUUAUUCUAGUCUUAGUGUCUAGCUGUUAUUUUAGUCUAUUCGUUUUAGUUACGUCUAUAUUCUUUCUAGUGUUAUCGAAAUAUAUUGCACUAUGUAUUUAACUACAGUUAUUGUCACACGCCCAGCAUGCACGUUGCGUCCCGUUUGUUUUUUGUUUGUUUGUUUUUCUUUCUCACGCGAUAAAGGUUCGUGAUGACGAUAUUUUGUCAUUAUUUUCGUUGCUAAAAGCGACAUUAUUUGCAACUACUGGUGGUGGUGGUGGUUAUCAGGUACUAAAUUCAUAAAGCAAAAUUCGGUUUCAUAACUCAGGUUAACCUGCAGCAACCCCGGCGAGUGUGACCACGUCGGUGGAUCAUCUAGAAAACACUCUUGAGUUCGCUGUCACGUCAGUGGCGUAAAAUAGGAAAAUAAAACUCAAGGUUGCAGCGGCAACCCCGGUGAGUGCGUGACCACGUCGGUGGCACAUCAAGGGCACUCGUGAGUAUGACCACGUCGGUGGCACGUUAUCUAGUACUCAUGGUUUGACUGCAGUAACCCCGGUGAGUGCGUUGCCCACGUCGGUGGGAACAACUCAAGCACUCGUGAGUUUGUUGCGCACGUCGGUGCGGUACAACACAGAACUCUACGUUCGUUGCAGCAAAUCCGGUGAGUGCGUUGCCCACGUCGGUGGGAACAACUCAAGCACUCGUGAGUUCGUUGCGCACGUCGGUGCGGUACAACACAGAACUCCACGUUCGCUGCAGCAACCCUGGUAGUGCGUUGACCACGUCGGUGGGCACUACUCAGGCACAUGCAAAUUUAAUUACCACGUCGGUGGCAUAAUAUCAAAAGCUCAAGUGCAGGGCACUUGGAGUUCAUUGACCACGUCGGUGUUUAACACGGAAGUUCACAAUAUUUGCUGCAGCAACACCGGUGAGUGCGUGACCACGUCGGUGGCACAGCAAGGGCACUCGUGAUUUCGUUGACCACGUCGGUGUUCAACACGGAACUUCACAAUAUUUGCUGCAGCAACACCG
ensembl:lncRNA